rnacentral:ribozyme from 1 species
GUCCAACCAACUCCUAUCCCUACCUCCUCAAGAUACCGGCCGGAAGUUACGAGCAACCUUAGGAAAGACCGGGUAACCAACCCCGGUGGGAACUUUGGUCGUAGGCUAACAGGGAAGG